AUAUGACAUAGUUCUUUCCAAUUACUAAAAACAGGAUUUCCUACGGUACUCUCUCUUCUUCUUGCUUUCCAAAAAACCACCGUUUCCAUGUUUCCAUCUCCUUUCUUAGAUUCUUUGGUCUUUCUCCAACUAUGAUUGAUCGAUCUCCCACCUUGGUAUGACUGAGUUUUACCAGCUCACAAAGAUGUGAAUCCAGUGGAGGUGUUUUUAGUUCUUGGUGAACUUUUGUUGGGAUUGAACCAAUGUACUCCUUCCGGGAGCUCGAGGAUCACUCCCCUGAGGCGAGUUGCUGAAUCAGUUCGGAGACCCCCUUUUACUGGUCCUUUUCUGUAAGCUGGAACAGUUUAAACUAGGAGGCUUUGUCCCAAUUAGGUAGCUUUCAUGUAAUCCAACCUGUAAUACAUAAAUAUGACAACUAUGUUUUUCUGAUUUUUGCAUCAUCGUUAUCAGCAUGUUUGCACUAUCCUUCUGGUCUUGAUUCGCAA